GGAGGGGUGCAAGAGCGGUUUAAUUGGCAGCUCUCGAAAAGCUUGCGCCUAACAAGGCACGGGGGUUCGAAUCCCUCCCCCUCCGCCA
rnacentral:tRNA from 2 species